rnacentral:rRNA from 1 species
CCUACGGGAGGCAGCAGUGAGGAAUCUUGGUCAAUGGACGCAAGUCUGAACCAGCCAUGCCGCGUGCAGGAAUACGGCUCUAUGAGUUGUAAACUGCUUUUGUACGAGGGUAAACGCAGAUACGCGUAUCUGUCUGAAAGUAUCGUACGAAUAAGGAUCGGCUAACUCCGUGCCAGCAGCCGCGGUAAUACGGAGGAUUCAAGCGUUAUCCGGAUUUAUUGGGUUUAAAGGGUGCGUAGGCGGUCGGAUAAGUUAGGGGUGAAAUCCCGGGGCUCAACUUCGGAAUUGCCUCUGAUACUGUGCGGCUAGAGAGUAGGUGCGGUAGGCGGAAUGUAUGGUGUAGCGGUGAAAUGCUUAGAGAUCAUACAGAACACCGAUUGCGAAGGCAGCUUACCAAGCUACUUCUGACGUUGAGGCACGAAAGCGUGGGGAGCAAACAGGAUUAGAUACCCGAGUAGUC